AGGCCACAGAACUAUGCACAGCUGCACAGCCUGUGAAUACAGAACCGCCCUGCCCAGACCAUGGGAGGUCCCUGCCUCAGUGCCUUUCACAUCCUACAUGCGCUGUGUGUCUUGCUGAUUCUGUUGGAAGAUGGACCCCAGAGCACCAGGGCCUCUGCCUGUAAGCUGUUGUGUCCUUCAAACUCCAUAUGUGGCGCUGCCAUUUCCUGUCAAUGCAAU